GCGCCGGUAGUGUAAUUGCGUAGAGCACCCUCGUCCGGUCAGCAAGAGGUGCGGGUUCGAAUCCCGCCUGGCGCU
rnacentral:tRNA from 1 species